GAAAUAUGUAAUUUUGUGAAUUAUAAAUUGUUUUUGCUUUCUUACAGGAGGGAAACACUCCACUUUUGUUGGCUAUAGAUUCUACGGGACAGCAAAUGGUGGAAUUUUUAUUGAAGAACCAGGCAAAUAUACAUGCCGUUGACAAUUUCAGAAGAACAGCCCUCAUGCUUGCUGUGCAGCAUAACUCGUCAAGUAUCGUCAGCCUCCUCCUUCAACAAAAUGUAAAUAUCUUUUCUCAAGACAUGUUUGGCUAAACUGCUGAGGAUUAUGCUGUUUGUUGUGAUUUGAGAAGCAUUCAACAACAAAUUUUGGAACAUAAAAAUAAGAUAACUUAAAAAUCAUCUUCGAAAUGACAAUCAAGUCUCUCUCUGUCGCCAGUCUGGAGUCCAGUGGCACGAUCUUGGCUCACUGCAGCC